AUUGUGGUGAAUGAUCCCAAAUAAACUACAAUAAGUCUGAAUAAAUAGAGAGGAAAUGGGAAGAAGGGGAUGGAGGAAGAAAGAGAGAUGGAGAAAGAGGAUGGAGAAAGAGAGGUGUAGAGAGAGAUGAAAGGUAUAGAGAGAGAGGUGUAGAAAGAGAGAUGAAAGAGAGGGAGAAAGGUGUAGAGAGAGAGGUGUAGAAAGAGAGAUGAAAGAGAGGGAGAAAGGUGUAGAGAGAGAGGUGUAGAGAGCGAGAUGAAAGAGAGGGAGAAAGGUGUAGAGAGAGGUGUAGAGAGAGAGGUGUAGAAAGAGAGAUGAAAGAGAGGGAGAAAGGUGUAAAGAGAGAGGUGUAGAGAGAGAGGUGUAGAGAGAGAGGUGUAGAGAGAGAGAUGAAAGAGAGGGAGAAAGGUGUAGAGAGAGGUGUAGAAAGAGAGAUGAAAGAGAAAGAG
ensembl:lncRNA